AUUGAACGCUGGCGGCAGGCCUAACACAUGCAAGUCGAACGAGUGGCGGACGGGUGAGUAAUGUCUGGGAAACUGCCCGAUGGAGGGGGAUAACUACUGGAAACGGUAGCUAAUACCGCAUACCAUCGGAUGUGCCCAGAUGGGAUUGGCUAGGAGGUGGGGUAACGGCUCACCUAGGCGCCGAUCCCUAGCUGGUCUGAGAGGAUGACCCGCCAAACUGGAACUGAGACACGAUCCAGACUCGUGCGGUAGGCAGCAGUGGUGGUUAUUGCAAAAUGGGCGCAAGCCUUAUGCAGCCAUUCCUCGUGUAUGAAGAAGGCCUUCGGGUUGUAAAGGACUUUCAGCUAGGAGGCGUUACUCGCAGAAGAAGCACCGGCUAACUCCGUGCCAGCAGCCGCGGUAAUAC
rnacentral:rRNA from 1 species